AAAAGCCUUUCAUGAUCCAUCCCUCUGCCCACUUAUCUGGAACCACCAAGAAAAUCAUUUUAGGGAGUCGAGAACAAGCUCACAAGAUUAAAAUUCUCGCAGAUAUUUUAUUAAAAUUUUCUCUUUCUAGUUAUAAUGUACUUUGCUCAUAAAGAUCUGUAUGCCGUGUAUUAUGUGUAUAAGUGCUUGCCCUAUUCUAUUAGGAUCCAUUCAAUAUACUCAAAAUGUGGUGUCUUUAAA